rnacentral:SRP_RNA from 1 species
GCUGAGUGUGGUGGUGCGUGCCUGUAAUCCCAGCUACUUGGGAGGCUGAGGCAGGGGGAUCGCUUGAACCCAGGAGGUGGAGAUUGCAGUGAGCUGAGAUUGCACCACUGCACUCCAGCCUGGGUGACAGAGCGAGACUCUGUCUCAA